UACGGAGGGGGCUAGCGUUGUUCGGAAUUACUGGGCGUAAAGCGCGCGUAGGCGGCUUUGUAAGUUAGAGGUGAAAGCCCAGGGCUCAACCCUGGAAUUGCCUUUAAGACUGCAUCGCUUGAACAUCGGAGAGGUAAGUGGAAUUCCGAGUGUAGAGGUGAAAUUCGUAGAUAUCGGGAGGAACACCAGUGGCGAAGGCGGAGACCUGGGCCGAUACUGACGCUGAGGUGCGAAAGCGUGGGGAGCAAACAGG
rnacentral:rRNA from 1 species